UUUUUCUUGUACAUAUUCUUCUUCUUUGUCUCCUAUUCCUCUUUAAAAUAACAAACUAACAACCAAUACAAGUACUUUUUUAUAAGGUAUGUUUCUUUUGUAGUGUACCAAUUUAUUAUACGCAAUAUCUACUAUGUACUUUUAUUUUUAUUCUUUUUUAACGUGCUUGCAUGUACCAAUGAUAAUACUGAUUUCUAAUAAUAUGAGUAUAGUUGAAUUUUUUUCCCUUGAUGCUCUUAUUUUUUGUAUCUUUCUCUUCUUCUUUUUUGUUUUAGUUCUCUAUUUGUUUAAUAUUAUUAUUAACCACAUGUUCUUAAUGCAUGAAAGAAAGUGAGCAAGAAAAUGACAAUGGAUAACAACUCUGAGAAGGCUAAAUAGGAUGCAGAAACCAACAGAACUGUCACGACCCCAAAUUUCCUCUGUAGGAUAUCGUGAUGGCACCUAAUCUUUAAGACUAGGUAAGCCUAAUAAUUUGCGGAAUCACUAAAUAUAAAUCUGAAAUUUAAUUCUUAAUAGUUGAAUAAAUAACAAUUGUAAAUUAAAAAAAUGCAACUCCCAAAACCCGGUAGAAAUAAGUCACAAGUUUCUAAGAGAAAUACUAAGUGUCUCGAUACAUGAGUGUUUAAAGAGAAUAAGGAAGACAACAUAAUAAAGAUAGAAGGGGACUACGAGGUCUACGGAUACUGGCAGAUAUACCUUGAAGUCUCCGCGUACGGACUAGCUCACUAAUACCUGGUCUGGUAGGAAGUACCUGGAUCUGCACAAAAGAAUAUACAGAAGCGUAGUAUGAGUACACCACAGCGGUACCCAGUACGUACCAAGCCUAACCUCGGUAGAGUAGUGACGAGGUCAGGUCAGGCCCUACUGGAAAUAAUAAAAGACAGGGUGAAAGUUUAACAAUAUAAUAAUGAUAAUGACAAUGAAAGUGAAAUAAGUAAGGAAUAUGUCACAAUUUAACCAUACAGAAUAAGGGCAAAUAAUACCUCUCAGAAGAAAAAUAGAAAUUUACAACUUCAAGGAAAACACAAAAAUAACUAAAGGCAAAUGCAACCAUAAAGAAAUAUCAACAAGGGCACUCCCUGGGUACUGCCUCGUAGUCCCAAAUUAUUAAUAAAUUCACAAUAUCUCAUUUUCUUAUAUCACCGCGGGAGCCUUCACAUUUAAUUUUAAAGAAAUUAUUUUUUUUCCGAAAUAGCAUCCCGCGUUUUAGCCACCCUUAUCACAUUGCAUGACUUCUAGUAGUUCCCCUACUAGCCACGCGUAUCAAGCCACCCUUAUCUCAUCGCAUGCGUUUCAACACCUAGAUCUUAUACCACCGCAUGUGUAAUAAUAUCACAAUAUAUCACAAUUUGUACCUCAAGUGCCCAAAUAUUUUAACUUGCCAAAAUAAGUUAUCAACAACAUUAUUUGCACAAUAAGGAGCUCACGAGUCAAUCACAACGAAUACAAAAUCUCACAAAUUAUUCGUAAGCGAAUAACUCAACAAAAUAAUAUUUAACUCAACACCUUGCCUCAAUACCAAAUUUUUUAAUGUCAAAUACUUCAUAUUAAUAAUAAUUCAAUUAAGAAAUUCAACUUUCAAAUAAUGAGCACAGAAUAAAAGAAACAAAGUUUCAACUAAACAUGUAAAGAAAUUAGCAUGAAAAAUGUCAGGCAAAUUUAAAAUAUAAAAAUAGAUCAAUGAUGAUGAAUAUAACCGGAUAAAAUAAUUUAAUUAAUGUGUAAGAGAGAUCUACACUUUAAACAAGAAUUUUUCACCAUUAGCCCGUGUACACACUCGUCACCUCGCGUAUACGACUUUCAACACAUCACAAUUAUUAUAUCAAUACCAAUCCUAAGGGAAAUUUCCCCACACAAGGUUAGGCAAGUCACUUACCUCGAACCGGAUAAUUCUUUACUCUGCUACGCCUUUGCCUCGCAAAUUUGCCUCCAAAAACCUUGUAUCUGAUAAGCAGAAUACUUUGACGAUGAAGAUAAUAAGGUGAAGGAGAAGAACGAUGUCAGUAACAAUCUCAAAAUCUUUAGCAACGAAAUAUUUCUUGAAUAAUAAGAAUAUGGGGCCAGAAAAUUGACAAAUUCAGAUCUGAAAAUCCAAUUUCAAUAUACAAGUCUGACUUCAUUUCUUUAGAAAACCAACGGUGAACAAAAAAUCGUGGACCGUGAGCCUCUCCAACGACAGUGUUUUGGGUCGAUUUGGAG
rnacentral:lncRNA from 1 species